rnacentral:rRNA from 1 species
UACAGAGGGUGCGAGCGUUGUUCGGAAUUAUUGGGCGUAAAGCGCGUGUAGGCGGCCUAGCAAGUCGGGUGUGAAAGCCCUCAGCUUAACUGAGGAAGUGCGCCCGAAACUGCUGAGCUUGAGUACCGGAGAGGAUGGUGGAAUUCCCCAAGUAGAGGUGAAAUUCGUAGAUAUGGGGAGGAACACCGGUGGCGAAGGCGACCAUCUGGACGGAUACUGACGCUGAGACGCGAAAGCGUGGGGAGCAAACAGG